AAUGAACGCUGGCGGCGCGCCUAAUACAUGCAAGUCGAGCGAGAAGACGUAGCAAUACGUUUGUAAAGCGGCGAACGGGUGAGGAAUACAUGGGUAACCUACCCUCGAGUGGGGAAUAACUAGCCGAAAGGUUAGCUAAUACCGCGUACGCUUCUUGGACUUCGGUUCAGGGAGGAAAGCGAUACCGUGGGUAUCGCGCUCUUGGAUGGGCUCAUGUCCUAUCAGCUUGUUGGNGAGGUAC
rnacentral:rRNA from 1 species